ensembl:snRNA U6 U6 spliceosomal RNA
GUGCUUGCUUCGGCAGCACACACACUAAAAUUGGAACCAUACAGAUAUUAGCAUGGCCCCUGCCCAAGGAUGACACAGAUUCGUGAAGCAUUCUAGAUAAAU